CGGGAUGUGGCUCAGUUUGGUAGAGCGCCUGGUUCGGGACCAGGAGGUCGCAGGUUCAAGUCCUGUCAUCCCGACCA
rnacentral:tRNA from 1 species